CGCCCCUGGCACUGGGCAAAGACACCUUAUGGGUGGUGGUUGGUGUUCUUGCAUCAGUCAGGGGCAGAGCAGGUGGUGGUCCUUUGUUCAUCCAGCUUGAUGGCUGGCUUGGAGGCCAAAGCUAUUUUAUAGCUAGGACUCAUAA